rnacentral:rRNA from 1 species
UACGAAGGGGGCUAGCGUUGCUCGGAAUGACUGGGCGUAAAGGGCGCGUAGGCGGGUGCUCAAGUCUGUGGUGAAAUCCUCCGGCUCAACCGGAGAACUGCCAUGGAUACUGGGCGUCUCGAGUGUGGUAGGGGUAUGCGGAACUAUCGGUGGAGCGGUGAAAUGCGUUGAUAUCGAUAGGAACUCCGGUGGCGAAGGCGGCAUACUGGACCACCACUGACGCUGAUGCGCGAAAGCCAGGGGAGCAAACGGG